UUAAGCGACUAAGCGUACACGGUGGAUGCCCUGGCAGUCAGAGGCGAUGAAGGACGUGCUAAUCUGCGAUAAGCGUCGGUAAGGUGAUAUGAACCGUUAUAACCGGCGAUUUCCGAAUGGGGAAACCCAGUGUGUUUCGACACACUAUCAUUAACUGAAUCCAUAGGUUAAUGAGGCGAACCGGGGGAACUGAAACAUCUAAGUACCCCGAGGAAAAGAAAUCAACCGAGAUUCCCCCAGUAGCGGCGAGCGAACGGGGAGCAGCCCAGAGCCUGAAUCAGUAUGUGUGUUAGUGGAAGCGUCUGGAAAGGCGCGCGAUACAGGGUGACAGCCCCGUACACAAAAAUGCACAUGCUGUGAGCUCGAUGAGUAGGGCGGGACACGUGGUAUCCUGUCUGAAUAUGGGGGGACCAUCCUCCAAGGCUAAAUACUCCUGACUGACCGAUAGUGAACCAGUACCGUGAGGGAAAGGCGAAAAGAACCCCGGCGAGGGGAGUGAAAAAGAACCUGAAACCGUGUACGUACAAGCAGUGGGAGCACGCUUAGGCGUGUGACUGCGUACCUUUUGUAUAAUGGGUCAGCGACUUAUAUUCUGUAGCAAGGUUAACCGAAUAGGGGAGCCGAAGGGAAACCGAGUCUUAACUGGGCGUUAAGUUGCAGGGUAUAGACCCGAAACCCGGUGAUCUAGCCAUGGGCAGGUUGAAGGUUGGGUAACACUAACUGGAGGACCGAACCGACUAAUGUUGAAAAAUUAGCGGAUGACUUGUGGCUGGGGGUGAAAGGCCAAUCAAACCGGGAGAUAGCUGGUUCUCCCCGAAAGCUAUUUAGGUAGCGCCUCGUGAAUUCAUCUCCGGGGGUAGAGCACUGUUUCGGCAAGGGGGUCAUCCCGACUUACCAACCCGAUGCAAACUGCGAAUACCGGAGAAUGUUAUCACGGGAGACACACGGCGGGUGCUAACGUCCGUCGUGAAGAGGGAAACAACCCAGACCGCCAGCUAAGGUCCCAAAGUCAUGGUUAAGUGGGAAACGAUGUGGGAAGGCCCAGACAGCCAGGAUGUUGGCUUAGAAGCAGCCAUCAUUUAAAGAAAGCGUAAUAGCUCACUGGUCGAGUCGGCCUGCGCGGAAGAUGUAACGGGGCUAAACCAUGCACCGAAGCUGCGGCAGCGACGCUGAUGCGUUGUUGGGUAGGGGAGCGUUCUGUAAGCCUGCGAAGGUGUGCUGUGAGGCAUGCUGGAGGUAUCAGAAGUGCGAAUGCUGACAUAAGUAACGAUAAAGCGGGUGAAAAGCCCGCUCGCCGGAAGACCAAGGGUUCCUGUCCAACGUUAAUCGGGGCAGGGUGAGUCGACCCCUAAGGCGAGGCCGAAAGGCGUAGUCGAUGGGAAACAGGUUAAUAUUCCUGUACUUGGUGUUACUGCGAAGGGGGGACGGAGAAGGCUAUGUUGGCCGGGCGACGGUUGUCCCGGUUUAAGCGUGUAGGCUGGUUUUCCAGGCAAAUCCGGAAAAUCAAGGCUGAGGCGUGAUGACGAGGCACUACGGUGCUGAAGCAACAAAUGCCCUGCUUCCAGGAAAAGCCUCUAAGCAUCAGGUAACAUCAAAUCGUACCCCAAACCGACACAGGUGGUCAGGUAGAGAAUACCAAGGCGCUUGAGAGAACUCGGGUGAAGGAACUAGGCAAAAUGGUGCCGUAACUUCGGGAGAAGGCACGCUGAUAUGUAGGUGAAGUCCCUCGCGGAUGGAGCUGAAAUCAGUCGAAGAUACCAGCUGGCUGCAACUGUUUAUUAAAAACACAGCACUGUGCAAACACGAAAGUGGACGUAUACGGUGUGACGCCUGCCCGGUGCCGGAAGGUUAAUUGAUGGGGUCAGCGCAAGCGAAGCUCUUGAUCGAAGCCCCGGUAAACGGCGGCCGUAACUAUAACGGUCCUAAGGUAGCGAAAUUCCUUGUCGGGUAAGUUCCGACCUGCACGAAUGGCGUAAUGAUGGCCAGGCUGUCUCCACCCGAGACUCAGUGAAAUUGAACUCGCUGUGAAGAUGCAGUGUACCCGCGGCAAGACGGAAAGACCCCGUGAACCUUUACUAUAGCUUGACACUGAACAUUGAGCCUUGAUGUGUAGGAUAGGUGGGAGGCUUUGAAGUGUGGACGCCAGUCUGCAUGGAGCCGACCUUGAAAUACCACCCUUUAAUGUUUGAUGUUCUAACGUUGACCCGUAAUCCGGGUUGCGGACAGUGUCUGGUGGGUAGUUUGACUGGGGCGGUCUCCUCCUAAAGAGUAACGGAGGAGCACGAAGGUUGGCUAAUCCUGGUCGGACAUCAGGAGGUUAGUGCAAUGGCAUAAGCCAGCUUGACUGCGAGCGUGACGGCGCGAGCAGGUGCGAAAGCAGGUCAUAGUGAUCCGGUGGUUCUGAAUGGAAGGGCCAUCGCUCAACGGAUAAAAGGUACUCCGGGGAUAACAGGCUGAUACCGCCCAAGAGUUCAUAUCGACGGCGGUGUUUGGCACCUCGAUGUCGGCUCAUCACAUCCUGGGGCUGAAGUAGGUCCCAAGGGUAUGGCUGUUCGCCAUUUAAAGUGGUACGCGAGCUGGGUUUAGAACGUCGUGAGACAGUUCGGUCCCUAUCUGCCGUGGGCGCUGGAGAACUGAGGGGGGCUGCUCCUAGUACGAGAGGACCGGAGUGGACGCAUCACUGGUGUUCGGGUUGUCAUGCCAAUGGCACUGCCCGGUAGCUAAAUGCGGAAGAGAUAAGUGCUGAAAGCAUCUAAGCACGAAACUUGCCCCGAGAUGAGUUCUCCCUGACUCCUUGAGAGUCCUGAAGGAACGUUGAAGACGACGACGUUGAUAGGCCGGGUGUGUAAGCGCAGCGAUGCGUUGAGCUAACCGGUACUAAUGAACCGUGAGGCUUAACCUU
rnacentral:rRNA from 1 species